UUUUUCCUUUCAUUUAUUUUAGUAUUUUUUAUUUAGUUUAAUUUAUGUUUAUAUGUUAACUAAUAUAUUUGAUAAUUUUCGUUAGCGUAGUUUUAGCUUAGUUUAGUUUAUCUUAGUUAAUCUAGUAUAGUAUCAAUCAGUCAUGUAAUCAUGUAGAUAACUUAGGAAUCCUACGUUAAUCUAUUCAUUAACCUGCUAUAUGUACGGUGUGGCCUUAAGUUAGUUAAGUAUUUAUAGAACACAUGUUAUUUAAUAUUUAUCCAUGCUUAUAAAUCUUGAUUGGUCUGAAUAAGAUCUGAAUCUUGUAUUGUUGUGCACCUAUUGGUUCAUUAAUAGGAUUAAGGGCUACUAUAGCUGGUUAUGUCUAUGUUUAUACAUGUAGACACAUGAAAUGAGUCUGUUUAACUUAUUUUAUAAAUAGCACGUGUUCAUUAGUGGAGUUGGAAUUAAUAAAGGCUUAACUUGAACUAAAAAAAAAAAAAUUGGCUAUGUGUUUUGAUGCUGUAAGUCUGCCUAGAUCAGUCAUGCGUAUCCAGUGUUUGUUUUUAGAUGAUUCCAGCCUGAUAUAAUUUCAACAUAGUCUUUGAUGCUUUCUUAAACUCUGUACUCAGUCAUGUGAUAAUCAAUGUAGCCUUUUAGCAUCUCUUGUGUUCUAUAUUUGAGUAUAUGUAUGGAUUGUCAACGAUAGUAUAUGUGUCUGAAUAAGCACGUAUGCUUGUUUGAGAUCCUUUGCUGAUUGUUUUGACCAAAUAGCUAGUCUACAUGUCUGUUGUUGCCUUUUCCCUGCCCUUAUUCAUCUUGCCUUUCUUUUUGGUAAGAUUGUUUGUUGCCCUAUUUCCCCUGUAGGAUCCUCUACUGGGACGGUUCUCUAAAUUUUGGUUGUUUUGAAAUGGAAUGUUUGUAUCAUGGUCUAAGUUAGUAGUUACUGGUUGAGGAACUGAAAAUGACACCUAAACCUUUGCUAGUUCAUUAUAGGGGAACCAUAUCUAACUUGUCCUUCAUUUUCAUGUUGCAACUAUUAUUAAGGCAAAAUCACCUAGCUUAAGUACUCACCUGUUUUAAAACAAAACAUCUGAAAGAGUUAUAGCGUAGGAUUAUGCAUGAAGAAUUUGUCUUUUCUUUUUUUUAGGGGGGCUAGAAGGAUAUGCUAACUAUGUAUUUGUUCAUGAUAUGAUGGUUGAAGAAGUAAGGCUAACAAACAACUGGUUGAAAAACAACAAAGGUUUUUCAGGAAUGAUCAGUUUUCUCACUUUAGAGUAAAUUUGACCAGUAAGCUCAUUUAGGUAAGGAAAGAGAUGGUACUUGAUCUUGUAAGUAAAAAGGGCUUCAAAAUAGUUGUCACUUGAUUUCUGGUAACAUAAGAAGUGAUUUACCUAGGGCUAAGGAGGGUUUAGGAAUGGCUUUAUGCUACACCUCAUAAAAUUAUUGCGUCGUUUGGGUCGUAAGUAAACUAACAUAAGCUCAGGAGGGUAAAUUUGACCAGUAAGCUCAUUUAGGUUAGGAAAGAGAUGGUACUUGAUCUUGUAAGUAAAAAGGGGUUCAAAAUGGUUGCCACUUGAUUUCUGGAAACAUAAGAAGUGAUUUACCUAGGGCUAAGGAGGGUUUAGGAAAAGUUUUGUGCUACACCUCGAAAAAUUGUUGCGUCGUUUGGAUCGUAAGCAAACUAAUGUAAGACCAGGAGGCCACGGAACUCCUAUAAGGCUAAGUAAGACUUUCAACAAAUGCUAAGCAUCUACCAUAAGGUCUCGGGGUUAAAUGAAUCAAAGAUGUUAUAACCCGCACUUUCGAGGCUAAACUAGGAGUACUUAAUAUGCUAAGGAGGUUUUGUUUUAAGGUAAUUGAACCAUAUAAUAUUCUUAUGUUAAGCUUUAAAGUCAAGCAAGUUGUAAAAUAAAAGUCGGGGAAAAGCAUCGCAAGUGACGUUCAUAAAUUUUGCUGAAAUUUGGGUCUAAUGUCACUGAAUUUUCUCCCAAAGUACUAAGAGUUAUGGGGUGUUCCACCCAUCAAAUUGAAGUUCUAUGAUGAUAGUUUCCAAAGUAUUAAACCGUUCAUCCAUACAACAUCAAAAUACAGAGAUAUUCACAUUUUCGCGAGACUAUGCAGUCAGCCUCGCUGGGACCCACUUAGGCUGUGGCCGACCUUGGCUUGUUUUAAAAAUGUUUGGGGGCUUAUCUUUCAUCAUUUUUUGACCAAACUUCACCAAAAUACUCUCCUAAUGCCUCUGAACAGAUUCCUAAAGACUUCAAGGCGAAAUCCAAGGGUUCAUAACCAAAUCCAACACCAAAAGCUAGCUAAAGUAAAGAACACCGCCUCUAGGAUGUUGUGAAGUGAACAAGGUGGAUGUGAGCUGAAUCAAGUUUGGAUUUCAGGUUGUCUACUGUGUAAGUUAUUAAUAACCUCCAUUUUGUUGUGCUUAAGCUUAAUUCCUUGUUGGUGAGGUUGUUUGAAGCAAGAUACGACAAGAUAGCAUUGAAAUAGCCUAAGAUAUGGCUACUGUUUUGUUGGGCUGUUUUGAGGUGAUAUAUAUGAUAUGUGAUGCCUAGAAAUUAUGGAAUAUAAUAUGAAUAUGUUGUGGCUUCUGCUGUGAAAAUCAUUCAUGUAUUAAUUAAGUGAACUGAAGAAGAAAACAUGUAAAAACUAUGAAUUGAAAGUGAAGGUUGAAGUGUAGGCGUGUGGAGUGCUUUGAAUGUUGGUUUUUUGGAUGUUUUGAGUUCUGAAUGAUACGGUAAGCCUAAGUAUAAUGUCACAAGUGGUGCAGAUAUAUUUAUAAGAGAAGAAUUGAAUUCAGAUUAUGUUUUAUUAUUCGUAAAUCAAGCUUGCCGCUCAAUAUGGUUGUUGAAGCAAUCGGAAAGCUUAUAUUGAUUUGUAUUGUGUUGUUGGGCUGUUUGAUGACCCUUAGUGUGCUAAGGGAUGUAGUAUAAACUGGGGAGGUGUUGCCCAUUUUAUCAUAGGAUAUGUGGUUAGUAAAACGUGAUGGUUACAACAUUUAUAAUGAUGACAGUAUCGUUUUACUUAUUCUACACACAAGAAAAUUGUGUUAAGCGUGGUGGUUGAUUGAAGAGGAGAUUACAAGAUUCCUGAAGACUUUAAGGCGAAAUCCAAGGGUUCGUAACCAAAUCCAACACCAAAAGCUAGCUAAAGUAAAGAACACCACCUCUAGGAUGUUGUGAAGUGAAUAAAGGUGGAUGUAAGCUAAAUCAAGUUUGGAUUUCAGGUUGUAUCUUCUGUUUAAGGUAUUUAUAACCUCCCUUUGUUGUACUCAAGAUUAAUUCCAUGUUGGUGAGGUUGUUUGAAGCAAAAUACUGCAAGAUAGCAUUGAAAUAGCCUAAGAUAUGGCUAUGUUGGGCUGUUUUUUGUGAUAAAUAUGAUUUGUGAUUGCUAGAAAUUAUGGAAUAUAACAUGAAUAUGUUGUAGCUACUGUUGUUCAAAAUUAUUCAUGUAUUAAUUAAGUGAACUGAAAAAGAAAACAUGUAAAAAUUAUGAAUUGAAAGUGAAGGUUGAAGUAUAGGCGUGUGGACUAUUUUGAAUGUUGUUUUUUUGGAUGUUUUGAGUUGUGAAUGAUAUGGUAAGCCUAAGUAUAAUGUCAAAAGUAGUGCAGACAGAUUUAUGAAACAAGAAUUGAAUUCAGAUUAUGUUUUAUUAUUUGUAAGUCAAGGUUGCCACUCAAUAUGGUUGUUGAAGUAAUCGAAAGCUUAUAUUGAUUUUUAUUGUGUUGUUGGGCUGUUUGGUGACCCUUAGUAUUCUAUGGGAUGUAGUAUAAACUGGGGAGGUGCUUCCCGUUUUCUCUUCGGAUAUGUGGUUAGUAAAAUGUGAUGGUUACAACAUUUAUAAUGAUGACAUUACCAUUUUACUUAUUGUAGACACAAGCAAAUUGCGCUUGGUGGUUGAUUGAAGAGGAGAUUACAAGGUAUGUUAAGACUAUUCCUUUCUCUUUGCAUGAUCAGAAUGAGACAAACGUAACGAACAAUAUCCAUAAUAUCUCUAUUCUUAGAAAGUGUUAGAAGAUUAUGUUCUAUUUUCCAUAUGACGCUUCUUAUGUUAUCUUAUAAUCCAUUGAUCUUAAAAGAAGUUAUGUUGAUGAUGUUAGUUCCAUAAUGAUAAUCGGAGGUGAAAUGACCUUACGUCACUCGGAUAGAUUUAGAUUGUCUUCUUAUCAUUCAUGCAGUAUGUGUGUGUGUGUGUGUGUAUGACACCGAGCCGCGCUAUAGUCGGCCAGGUAGGGCACCUAUUGUGCACACCACUGCAGUUGGGUAUGGUAUGAUGAUGAUAGCCCCAAAGAGCGGCUUAAUGAUGAUGAUGCAGCCCCAUAGUGUGGCUUAUAUAUAUGUAUAUUUUUUAAAAGAAAGCAUAAAUGUCAUAAGCCCGCAUAGGCAUUCAGAUCUACAGGUUGACUCUCUUUUAUCUCAUGUUACCUUCAUGUCUUUAUUAUGUUAUUCCUUAUGCCUUACAUACUCGGUACAUUAUUCGUAUUGAUGUCUCUUUUGUCUGGGGAUCUUUGCAUUUCAUGCCCGCAAGUUUUGAGAUACAGGUUGACGGCCCACUGAGCAGGAUACCAGCUCAGCAGACGGUGUUAUUGCACUCUACUUGUUCCGAAGUUGCCAUAUGAGUCAGUAUGAAUAUAUGUAUGCACAUGUAUGGGCAUGGCGGGUCCCUGUCCCGACUACGUUAUGUCAUGUACUCUAGUAGAGGCUUGUAGACAGUUAUGUACAGUCAAAUAUUGUUUGGCUUUGUCGGCUUAUGUACUAUUGCAUAGAUGUCUAUGACGGCCCUAUCGGCACGUCCGGUAUGUCUAGCUUGUUAUGUAGCUAUGUCCUAUCAAUCUUGUUUUAUUUCAGUCUAUCA